GAUUUCUUAACUCCAUUGCUCUUCUUUGAGGAUAUGUGCAGACGGUGGAAUCACAGGAAAAAGAAGUCAUACAUUCAGGAGCCAAAGAGCUCUGCUGUGUGUACUGUCAUUGAGGAGAAGGCUGCAGACCAAAUGUGGUAGCCAGGAACCCCUUGGAGCAUCUCUCCAGAUUCACUUGGAGACAGACAGCAGAAGACUACCAUGAAUACUUUGGACGAAGUAAAACUCAUCUCAGUUCUCGAUGGAGAGGCUGAGUGAGCUCUGUCUCUUUAGCCUGGAGAAGACCAAGAGAGGAUCUCAUCUAUGCUUACGAAUACCUAAAAGGUUUACUGGAUAUCUGUGAUGGCCUGAUUGAAGUAUGUGAGAAGCCAACGUUACCCUUACCUGCAUCUUGAGACAGAGGAUACUGCUCAGUCUGCCUGAGGGUGGCCAGCUAUCAAGUUUUCGCUUAAAUCACCCAUAUCUACGUGAGGAUCCUAUUCUUAAUUUAAAGCUAAAAAUAAGUCUUUUCGCUGUAGAGAAAAAUUGACUCAGAUUCUCUGUACAAAGUGAAAAGCAAGAAGAAUGAAGCACCAAAAAACCCUAAAAUGUAAAUGACAUGUGAAAAAGAAGGGGAGGAGAAGUUUUCAGGGACCUCAGUGCAAAUAACGGCCAAGGACGCUUUCAGAAACUGUAAUCCCAGUGGCUGAAUGCAGCAGAAAAUGAGAGCUCAGAGGUAUAGCCUAUUUAAGCUAUGAUUUCUUUCAGAGGACCCCUUUCUUCACCUAAAUUGGAUCCAGGACCUUGCUUCUGUUUCCUUCAUGCUUGUUUUACCUGUUCCCAAUCCCUCAGCAAACUGUGUAACUUUUUGUUACUGAAUUGCCCAGUCACUUGUGAUAUCCAGUUCUUUAUAAUGUGCUAUAUACCAGUGAUGGAGCCUUGUCUCAUCAUGCACAAGCAAUUCCAAGCAUUCAGGAACUGAGGGAAGAACAUGCUGACUGCUGAGAUCCUGUGGUGCGUGAACAGAUGCUCUGUUGAUCGACACGGCGCUAAGCUGUCCGGUGAGGACCAUCACUUACAUGGAGAUGCUGCCAGCAUGAACAAACAAUAGCAGAUAUGAUAAUAGAUGAUUUUAAAGGAUCUGUUUUGUGGUGCUUCCAAUCUAGAAGCAAAUGAGUUGACAGAUGCUGCUCAACAAAAGUCAUUGACUGCAAACUUGAGUAUCUCCUUGCAGCAUUCCUCUCUCCAUGAACAUCUCCUGAGUUUCCUCUAGAUUGGCCUUUGUCGCCCACAUCUGAGCUCCAGCACAGCUCAUUGCCUGCGCAGGAGGUACUUGAUCUGAGCAUCCAGGCUAACUCGUGGACUUGAUGGCUGCUCAUUUAUUUCAUGUAUUACUGUAAGCCUCUCUUGUCUCACCGGAACACUCAGCUGUUGGCUUCGGCAACUCUGUGGUGUCAGCUCGAGCAUAUUUCCUCCGCGUCCCUGCUCCACUCCUGGCCUCAUUACUCACAAAUUAGUCACACCAAGAUCUUUAAAGCGGCAAUUCCGAGGCAUGUGCUCAAGAAGCUUUCUCUUCUAUUCAGAAAGCAGUGAUAUUUUUUUAAUUCUUAAUUUGGGUUGUUCUUCUGAAGAACAGACACUAUGUCCUGCUGCUAUAAUGCCAAGCCAUGAUGGGGCAGAGAGUUGGUUCAGAGAGUUUCACUGCUGUUUAAAAAUUGAGGAGAAAGAGAGGGAAAAUCUCAGAACUCUGCUAGAAGAAUAGCAAACGCAAGUGUAUUCUUCCAUGCUACGUGCAGAAGCAUUGGUUGCCUCUCCAUUUUAGCCUGUGUGGAAGCUGAGGGUAGUGAGGAGGAAAUGUAUUCUGCAAGAGAAAAGACAGUGUAUGGGGGUGGAUUCAUUUCACUUCUGCAGCUUCACCCAUUCCUGUAUCUGACCGGGAGCUUGAACAUGCUGCUGGCACUUUGUCGGCCUUUUUAUCCUUGAUUAUCAAAUAUACACAACAGCCAUAACAGACAUUGCAUCCAACUAUGCCCUCCUAUACCUACUCAUAAACCAACAAUUAAUUUGCAAAGUCGAAGAUGAGAUAUAUCAGUGGAAAUUUAAAAAAAAAUAUUGCCCCAGAUGUGCCUCUGCUUGCAACAGAGUAGCAGUGAUUAAUUUCCUAUUUAUUUCUGUUUAUGUUUCCCAAAUAGGAUAAAAUACACCGAAGAUUGGUAAGAUUUUUUUAUAUUGCUGCAUUUUUUUUUGUUUUAUGUAAUAAUAUACUUUUUAUUUUAAGAAAUAAUUAACAUAAUGUGUUAGAAUGUCAUGAUUCUAAUUGUUCUUGCCAUGGAAAAGGUACGACUGAAUUAAAUUAAUACAUAGGAGACUUGUUUCAUUCUGCAGUAACUACUGCUGUUCUUUGAAAGGCUGUCCUUUUUUUGAGUUCCUUAUCUGAAAAGGUUUACCAUGUCUUCAUGCAAGUAGUUGUCAUGCUUUAGAAAAAUCACAAGCAGCAAAAAGUCAGAAUUGUCAGUUCAGAAGACACUGCUUGUUCCACUGGGUAAAACUGAGAAAGCAAAGCCGGCAAAUGAUCUUUAGGAAAAAAAAAAAAUGAUGGAAACAGCAGUGGAAUGAAGAUAAAAAGGGCUGCAGGCUUUAUUCUCAUUGAAGGUUGGCAACGGGAAAUCUGUUGGAGUAGAGGAAGAAUAUCUGAUAGGUCAUCUGUUGUGUAAUGAAGAAUAGAAGACAGAAGACAAGCUAGGAGAAGCAAGGUGAUUCCAAACCUCGGAGGAAUGUAAGAUCUUAUGAGAGAAACAUGAAAGCAAUACCUUUAUAAACUGACCAAAUUUAAUUUACUAUCAACGAGCCUUGUAAGACUGCAAGCUGACAAAAUCCAUUUGUAAUGUUAUGGGUAAGGCUGAAGUCAUACAUUUUUCUCCUGUGGAAUCAUUUUAUUAUGUAUUCGUUUCUUUUUUGUGCAGGUUUUCUGAUUAAAAAUUACUGCUAAGAUGUCAAAUAUUUCCUUGUCCUCUGAUAUCUGGCUUAGUUACCAAAUAAC